GAAAGAGGCUGGUUAACCGUGGGCAGUCGAGCCUCAAGAUUUCCAAUGAGCUGCAAUUGCUGAAGUAGCAAAAACAUGUAAAUACGCUUUUUAUUAAAUUAUUUAAGCAUUACAAAUACGAAUACAAUACCACAAAGUCACACCUUAGAUUGAGAAAGCACAAAUUAGAACAUGCCACGUCAACUUCUUUCAGAUACACAGAUAGCGACAUGUUUAACGACGAUAAAUUAGAAAAAUGAGCGAUCGAGGGGAUGAGUACUUUCUUGAUGUUUGGGCAACCAACACAGUUGAGCAAGCAAGCAGCUCUUCUAUGGAAGCCUGA
rnacentral:lncRNA from 1 species